rnacentral:rRNA from 1 species
AUACGUAGGUGGCAAGCGUUGUCCGGAAUUACUGGGUGUAAAGGGCGUGUAGGCGGGGCUGCAAGUCAGAUGUGAAAUUCCGGGGCUCAACCCCGGCACCGCAUCUGAAACUGUGUAUCUUGAGUGCUGGAGAGGAAAGCGGAAUUCCUAGAGUAGCGGGGAAAUGCGUAGAUAUUAGGAGGAACACCAGUGGCGAAGGCGUCUUUCUGGACAGUAACGGACGCAGAGGCGCUAAAGCGUGGGUAGCGAACAGGAUUAGAUACCCUGGUAGUCCACGCCGUAAACGAUGGAUACUAGGUGUAGGAGGUAUCGACCCCUUCUGUGCCGGAGUUAACACAAUAAGUAGCCCACCUGGGGAGUACGGCCGCAAGGUUGAAACUCAAAGGAAUUGACGGGG